rnacentral:rRNA from 1 species
UUCAUCGUCAGCUCAUUUUGUAUAUGUAGAANGUUAUGAUGCGAGUUACUCUNUGUAGUAUUGCUUGUACAUACUUUUACAUUUAUUUGCAAGAUGUUGUCGGCGUGCACUUCUCCCCUAGUAGAACGUCGCGACCCGUUGGGUGUUGGUCUACGACCCGAGUGGGAGACUUUAAUAUUUUUAUAAUAUUAAAGACCCUUGGUGUUUUCUGACCGGCUGCCCGGCGGUACUCGUACGGUAUUUAGCCGCAAUUUAUUUNGCGUCCAUGUCCGUUGCAAGCGAGGCUAAUUUCUGGUAGUNGCGGACCUAGUGCCGUCGCUGGGAUUAGCCAGCUGUUGGUU